rnacentral:rRNA from 1 species
AUUGAACGCUGGCGGCAUGCCUAACACAUGCAAGUCGAACGGCCGCAUGAUCUACCUUGCCCGUUUGAUGUCGCGUGGCGCGGGGGUGUGUAAUAUAUAGGACCGUGCCCUGUUGCGGGGGUUAACUCGUCGAAAGACUGACUAUUACCGCAUAUACCCUGAACGUGAAAGUGCGGGAGCGCAAGGCCUCUUGCUCUAGGAGCUGACGCUGUCGGAUUAGCUAGUUGGUGAGGUAAAGGCUCACCAAGGCGACGAUCAGUAGCUGGUCUGAGAGGACGAUCAGCCACACUGGAACUGAGACACGGUCCAGACUCCUACGGGAGGCAGCAGUGGGGAAUUUUGGACAAUGGGCGAAAGCCUGAUCCAGCAAUGCCGCGUGUGUGAAGAAGGCCUUCGGGUUGUAAAGCACUUUUGUUCGGAAAGAAAAGACGCUGGUUAAUACCUGGGGGUGAUGACGGUACCGAAAGAAUAAGCACCGGCUAACUACGUG